UGCUUUCUGGGGUGGAUAGUGAGCCAUUUUGUGCCUCUGUGUCUGAUUUCUCACUUGCUUGUGUUGGCUGGAGCAUUAUGAGGUCUCUGCCAUGGCUGAUUUGUACUGGGGUGUGGAUACAGGCAGGGAUUUGAAACAAGCGGGGGGACCCUCUCCACCCUCACAGAGCCCUGCGAUAUCACACUUCUUAUGGAGGAGGCUGCACUGUCACAUUCCUCUAACUUGUUCUGCCAGAGUAUGAGACAAGAGGCAACAGAGAUUGACAACACUGGGAGUUUCUGCCAGGCUAUUUAUUCCCUCUCACGUGGGGUUAAUCAAGCCACCGUUAUGGCAGCAGUUACCAAUUUGCUCCCCACUGUCUUCAGAGAGUUACCUACCUGUUGUGAGCCCAUCUGAUGUAUCUGUUGCCGGUCAAAAGGUUGGAGAGAAGAUCUGCGAGGGAUUAGGUCAAAUGCAUCAGUAUCCAGAAACAUCUUAUUUUUGUCCAAGUCUGUGAAUGGCUUUCUUGCCAUUUGUACAACGGAGCCACACCGGUACUGCUGUCACAGACCUCUCCUGCAGCUACUAGGAUAGGAUGCAGAUGGUUUUCUUCGCUGUAAUCGCCGCAGAAAUUUCAUUUGUUUGGUCUACUGUGUAGGAGCUUGAUGUCUUUCCAGAUAUACCACUUCUGUGAGGGCUGGGGGACGGGAAGCUCAACACUGUUACCUUCUGCUCUGACUUCCUCACACCACAAAGCCAGACCUGCUGAAACUCCCUGAAUGUGGAGCAUAAUAUAACAUGCCUGUUGUUUCUGCAACAUGCUGACAAAGCAAGGUUUCUAUGAAUAUAUUCUUCCUGCAGCUCUAACCAUCAUUUGCUAUCAAGUUCUUUUGCAGUUUUGCACUUGUAAUAGUGAGUGAUAGAGCUAACUAUUUUCAAAAUAGAAAAAUGUCUUUUAAAAAAUCCAGAUACUGUUUUGCUUUGUUUUAAAAGCCUUGUUUUCUUUCCACAAGUGGGAAGCCUGUUCAUCACAGAGAAUGUGUCUAGGCCAAGUUAAAGCAUUUGACUUCAAAGUAUCAUUCCAAAACAGACAGCCACAUAUAUGUAUCCCUGUAAACAAAUAGGCAGAAAAACGAGAUUUUUUUUUUUUAAAUCAUCACAAAAGAGAAAUGUCUUAGACAUUGCAGCAAUGCAGACUGGUUUUCCUGGGGAGAACUUUAUAGCUUGUUUACUACGCUGAAAUCUGUCUCUCGCUUUACCAACUGCUUCCCAAGAUGUUGACUUUGUCUUACCAUGUCCCUUUCAUUUUUUGUUGUGUUCUUUCUUUUCUUGCCAGAUUUCCAGAGUUUUGUCUGCAUGCUUGCAAUACGCUUCCUUUGUUAUUUUUUAUCAGCAAAGUUUUCUAUCUCUGUAUUGUAGGCUAAGUUGUCAUUGGCAAAGACAGUAGGUUGUGCAAGAAAAUGUGCAUUAUCUCCAGAAACAUGACAGUGAUUACACCCAGAUACUGGCUCACUGGAGAGUGACGGUGGUGCACAUAUUCAAGUGGCUGUCCCUUUGCUGUAAUGUUUUAUAUUUAGUAUCAAAUAUGAGGCCUGAAAUAUGACCGACAGCAUUGUGAGUAUGGUAACCAGUGCAGUGACAAAACAGAUGUUUGUGCUGUACCUGAAAGCCACGAAAUAACGCAUGCUAUGGUUAUAAGCUAGCAGAAAACCUCUGGCAAGGUCAGCAAUGGCUUUUGCUGUCUUCUAGUCAUUGCUGUCCAAAUGUUUGUGGUGAUGUUGGCCUUGACUGCUCUGGAGAAAGAAGGCUAUUCUUAUCUUUAAAUUUAUGGCUUGGGAACAGGUCCAUGCCAAAACAGACUUUAAGCAGAUCUGUGCUGUUUCUAAACCCAUCUGCCCUGUGUUUGUGAAGGCUGUAGAGACAGCAGAGCUGUGCUGGUUUUCAAAGGUACCACAGAUCUUUUUACAGACUGCAGUCUUAAUGUUUACCAGGAUCAUCUGGAAAGCUAACAAAUCCUUUUACAUUCAUUCUUUUAUGUCAAGUUUAACUAUUUUAAAUUCUUAUGGGUAUUAAACACUGAAUUGAUUUAAUCUUAGAUAUUUUGCACAGUAUUUGUACAGCGAUUAUAAUGAGUUUUGCUAAUUGAUUUAAGAAUGAAUUCAGAUUGAGAUCCCAGUGGUUUUGGCUCAUCUUCACCUUCAGCCCUGGUGUACAGCAGUGACUGAAGUACAAGCUGCUGGUUUCUGCAAAUGCAGGCACAGUUCGAUGUGCCCAGUGUUGUAUCAUGGUUUGAGGCACAUCAGUCUGCUGAUGACUUUAAGUGUUUUAUGUAGUUUCUAUAGAUAAAAGAUACCUGUGCUUGAAUGUGGCAAGUAUACAUCCUGUCUCUAGUGCUUGUAGCCAGGAGUGCCUUCUUUCAGGGGAUGAGGAUUUGAGAAGCCUGCAGCUUCACUACUAAUGGCAGAAAAAGUCAGAAUUCAAGGGUGUAUUUGAAGUAAAAUGUAUAUAACUCUAAACCUGUGAGAUCAAACAGGUAUGAGGUUUGGGUUUAAAGUCCAUUUUUUCAGAGCAAAUGCUAUCUAUAAAAUAAAAAAAGUGGGCCUGUUUCUACAGGAAAUUCAGAUGUGCUUUUUCAUGUAAAAAAAAAAAAAACAGUAACCA